rnacentral:rRNA from 1 species
GGUUAAGCGACUAAGCGUACACGGUGGAUGCCCUGGCAGUCAGAGGCGAUGAAGGACGUGCUAAUCUGCGAAAAGCGUCGGUAAGGUGAUAUGAACCGUUAUAACCGGCGAUGUCCGAAUGGGGAAACCCAGUGCAAUUCGUUGCACUAUCGUUAACUGAAUACAUAGGUUAACGAGGCGAACCGGGGGAACUGAAACAUCUAAGUACCCCGAGGAAAAGAAAUCAACCGAGAUUCCCCCAGUAGCGGCGAGCGAACGGGGAGCAGCCCAGAGUCUGAAUCAGCUUGUGUGUUAGUGGAACGGUCUGGAAAGUCCGACGGUACAGGGUGAUAGUCCCGUACACCAAAAUGCACAGGCUGUGAACUCGAAGAGUAGGGCGGGACACGUGGUAUCCUGUCUGAAUAUGGGGGGACCAUCCUCCAAGGCUAAAUACUCCUGACUGACCGAUAGUGAACCAGUACCGUGAGGGAAAGGCGAAAAGAACCCCGGCGAGGGGAGUGAAAAAGAACCUGAAACCGUGUACGUACAAGCAGUGGGAGCACCUUCGGGUGUGACUGCGUACCUUUUGUAUAAUGGGUCAGCGACUUAUAUUCUGUAGCAAGGUUAACCGUAUAGGGGAGCCGCAGGGAAACCGAGUCUUAACUGGGCGUUAAGUUGCAGGGUAUAGACCCGAAACCCGGUGAUCUAGCCAUGGGCAGGUUGAAGGUUGGGUAACACUAACUGGAGGACCGAACCGACUAAUGUUGAAAAAUUAGCGGAUGACUUGUGGCUGGGGGUGAAAGGCCAAUCAAACCGGGAGAUAGCUGGUUCUCCCCGAAAGCUAUUUAGGUAGCGCCUCGUGAACUCAUCUUCGGGGGUAGAGCACUGUUUCGGCUAGGGGGUCAUCCCGACUUACCAACCCGAUGCAAACUACGAAUACCGAAGAAUGUUAUCACGGGAGACACACGGCGGGUGCUAACGUCCGUCGUGAAGAGGGAAACAACCCAGACCGCCAGCUAAGGUCCCAAAGUCAUGGUUAAGUGGGAAACGAUGUGGGAAGGCACAGACAGCCAGGAUGUUGGCUUAGAAGCAGCCAUCAUUUAAAGAAAGCGUAAUAGCUCACUGGUCGAGUCGGCCUGCGCGGAAGAUGUAACGGGGCUAAACCAUGCACCGAAGCUGCGGCAGCGACACUAUGUGUUGUUGGGUAGGGGAGCGUUCUGUAAGCCUGCGAAGGUGUGCUGUGAGGCAUGCUGGAGGUAUCAGAAGUGCGAAUGCUGACAUAAGUAACGAUAAAGCGGGUGAAAAGCCCGCUCGCCGGAAGACCAAGGGUUCCUGUCCAACGUUAAUCGGGGCAGGGUGAGUCGACCCCUAAGGCGAGGCCGAAAGGCGUAGUCGAUGGGAAACAGGUUAAUAUUCCUGUACUUGGUGUUACUGCGAAGGGGGGACGGAGAAGGCUAUGUUAGCCGGGCGACGGUUGUCCCGGUUUAAGCAUGUAGGCUGGUUGUCCAGGCAAAUCCGGAUAAUCAAGGCUGAGGUGUGAUGACGAGGCACUACGGUGCUGAAGUAACAAAUGCCCUGCUUCCAGGAAAAGCCUCUAAGCAUCAGGUAACAUCAAAUCGUACCCCAAACCGACACAGGUGGUCAGGUAGAGAAUACCAAGGCGCUUGAGAGAACUCGGGUGAAGGAACUAGGCAAAAUGGUGCCGUAACUUCGGGAGAAGGCACGCUGGUGUGUAGGUGAAGCCCCUGCGGGUGGAGCUGAGACCAGUCGAAGAUACCAGCUGGCUGCAACUGUUUAUUAAAAACACAGCACUGUGCAAACACGAAAGUGGACGUAUACGGUGUGACGCCUGCCCGGUGCCGGAAGGUUAAUUGAUGGGGUUAUCCGUAAGGAGAAGCUCUUGAUCGAAGCCCCGGUAAACGGCGGCCGUAACUAUAACGGUCCUAAGGUAGCGAAAUUCCUUGUCGGGUAAGUUCCGACCUGCACGAAUGGCGUAAUGAUGGCCAGGCUGUCUCCACCCGAGACUCAGUGAAAUUGAACUCGCUGUGAAGAUGCAGUGUACCCGCGGCAAGACGGAAAGACCCCGUGAACCUUUACUAUAGCUUGACACUGAACAUUGAGCCUUGAUGUGUAGGAUAGGUGGGAGGCUUUGAAGCGUGGACGCCAGUCUGCGUGGAGCCAACCUUGAAAUACCACCCUUUAAUGUUUGAUGUUCUAACGUUGGCCCCUUACCGGGGUUGCGGACAGUGUCUGGUGGGUAGUUUGACUGGGGCGGUCUCCUCCCAAAGCGUAACGGAGGAGCACGAAGGUUAGCUAAUCCUGGUCGGACAUCAGGAGGUUAGUGCAAUGGCAUAAGCUAGCUUGACUGCGAGCGUGACGGCGCGAGCAGGUGCGAAAGCAGGUCAUAGUGAUCCGGUGGUUCUGAAUGGAAGGGCCAUCGCUCAACGGAUAAAAGGUACUCCGGGGAUAACAGGCUGAUACCGCCCAAGAGUUCAUAUCGACGGCGGUGUUUGGCACCUCGAUGUCGGCUCAUCACAUCCUGGGGCUGAAGUAGGUCCCAAGGGUAUGGCUGUUCGCCAUUUAAAGUGGUACGCGAGCUGGGUUUAGAACGUCGUGAGACAGUUCGGUCCCUAUCUGCCGUGGGCGCUGGAGAAUUGAGGGGGGCUGCUCCUAGUACGAGAGGACCGGAGUGGACGCAUCACUGGUGUUCGGGUUGUCAUGCCAAUGGCACUGCCCGGUAGCUAAAUGCGGAAGAGAUAAGUGCUGAAAGCAUCUAAGCACGAAACUUGCCCCGAGAUGAGUUCUCCCUGAGACUUUAAGUCUCCUGAAGGAACGUUAAAGACGAUGACGUUGAUAGGCCGGGUGUGUAAGCGCAGCGAUGCGUUGAGCUAACCGGUACUAAUGAACCGUGAGGCUUAACCUU